AUGGCGGUGGUCGGCGUUCUCGCCCUGCAGGGAUCCUACAACGAGCACAUGUCCGCGCUGAGGAGGAUCGGUGUGAAGGGGGUGGAGGUGCGCAAGCCGGAGCAGCUGCAUGGCCUCGACUCGCUCAUCAUCCCCGGCGGCGAGAGCACCACCAUGGCCAAGCUCGCCAACUACCACAACCUGUUUCCUGCACUUCGAGAGUUUGUCGGUGCAGGAAAGCCUGUGUGGGGAACAUGUGCUGGGCUCAUUUUCCUUGCAAACAAGGCGGUAGGACAAAAAUUGGGAGGCCAAGAGCUUGUUGGGGGGCUAGACUGCACUGUCCACCGGAACUUUUUUGGGAGCCAGCUGCAAAGCUUUGAAACCGAACUUUCAGUGCCAAUGCUUGCGGAGAAGGAAGGAGGCAGUAAUACAUGCCGUGGAGUAUUUAUACGAGCACCUGCUAUCUUGGAAGUAGGAUCGGAUGUUGAAAUACUGGCUGAAUGCCCUGUUCCUUCUGGUAGACCCAGCAUUACCAUACCAUCUGCCGAGGGUGUUGAGAUGUGCGUAUCUGGAUGUUCCUUUUAUUCAAGUACUUUGCUGACAAAAUGCUUUGAGAAAUACUACUACAUGAGUAGCGGCUACCCUGAUGGAUCCCUUGUCGAAAACAUACUCCAAAUUACCUUAUCUCUUCUAUGCACUGACUUGCAAUGCAUAUUACCCUGGCAGGAAGAGGUGUACUCAAAAGAUCGGGUGAUUGUUGCGGUACGUCAAGGGAACAUCCUCGCCACCGCUUUUCACCCAGAAUUGACAUCAGACUGUAGAUGGCAUCGCUUCUUCUUGGACAUGGACAGAGAAUCCCAUCCAAAGGCCUUCUCGGCGCUAUCUCUAUCGUCGUCUUCAAGAGGUUCAGAAGGCGGGUCAAAGACCAAGCCUUUUGAUCUUCCCAUAUUUGAAUAG
rnacentral:rRNA from 1 species